UGACUAAAGUUUAACGGCCGCGGUAUCUUGACCGUGCGAAGGUAGCGCAAUCACUUGUCCUUUAAAUGGGGACCUGUAUGAAUGGCACGACGAGGGUUUAACUGUCUCCUUUCUCCAGUCAGUGAAACUGAUCUCCCCGUGCAGAAGCGGGGAUAACCCUAAAAGACGAGAAGACCCUAUGGAGCUUUAGACAAAAGAUGGCUUAUUUCAAACUAGCGGUCUACCAACACCCUGAGUUUACUUAAACCCCAUCCCCAGUCUUUGGUUGGGGCGACCGUGGGGAAAAAAAACCCCCCAUGAGGACUUAGAUUAUACAUCUAGAAGCCUAGAGAGACAUCUCCAAGCAUUAAAAAAUUUAACCAUAAGAUCCGGCCCAAAGCCGAUCAACGGACCGAGUUACCCUAGGGAUAACAGCGCAAUCCUCUCCCAGAGCCCCUAUCGACAAGUGGGUUUACGACCUCGAUGUUGGAUCAGGACAUCCUAAUGGUGCAGCCGCUAUUAAGGGUUCGUUUGUUCAACGAUUAAAGUCCUACGUGAUCUGAGUC
rnacentral:rRNA from 1 species